GAAAUAACUGGGGNGGUAAAANGCCCCCGUGGAAGGGCCGGCCCCGGGCCGCUUUUCGGGGUUGUUAAAAAGACCCCCCGGGCUUCAACCCGGGGGGGGGUGGCCCCCCCGAAUUACGGCCCGAAGCUUGAAGGGGCCAGGAGAAGGGCAGCCGGAAUUUCCCCGGGUGUAAGCGGUGAAAAAUGGUUAGAUAUUCGGGAAGAACACCCAGUGGCGAAGGCGGCUGCCUGCCCUGCCCCUGACGCUGGAGCGCGAAAGCGUGGGGAGCGAACGGGAUUAGAUACCCCGGUAGUCCACGCCGUAAACGAUGGGCACUAGGUGUGGGAGGUAUCGACCCCUUCCGUGCCGGAGCUAACGCACUAAGUGCCCCGCCUGGGGAGUACGGCCGCAAGGCUGAAACUCAAAGGAAUUGACGGGGGCCCGCACAAGCAGUGGAGCAUGUGGUUUAAUUCGACGCAACGCGAAGAACCUUACCAGGGCUUGACAUGCGCUGGAAGGCCCCGGAAACGGGGCGUCCCUUCGGGGCUGGCGCACAGGUGCUGCAUGGUUGUCGUCAGCUCGUGUCGUGAGAUGUUGGGUUAAGUCCCGCAACGAGCGCAACCCCUGUCCCGUGUUACCAGCGUGAAGGCGGGGACUCACGGGAGACUGCCGGUGACAAACCGGAGGAAGGUGGGGAUGACGUCAAAUCAUCAUGGCCCUGAUGCCCUGAGCUACACACGUGCUACAAUGGCCGGUACAGAGGGUUGCGAACCCGCGAGGGGGAGCCAAUCCCGGAAAGCCGGUCCCAGUUCGGAUCGGAGGCUGCAACCCGCCUCCGUGAAGGCGGAAUUGCUAGUAAUCGCGGAUCAGAACGCCGCGGUGAAUACGUUCCCGGGCCUUGUACACACCGCCCGUCACACCACGAAAGUCGGCAACACCCGAAGCCGGUGACCGAACCCGCGAGGGACGGAGCCGUCGAAGGUGGGGCCGAUGAUUGGGGUGAAGUCGUAACAAGGUAAC
rnacentral:rRNA from 1 species